rnacentral:lncRNA from 1 species
GCCACUGGACCAGUUCCUGUGGCGCAAGCGGGACCUGUACCAGACGCUGUACGUGGAUGCCGAGGAAGAAGAGAUCAUCCAGUACGUGGUGGGCACCCUGCAGCCCAAGCUCAAGCGCUUCCUGCGGCCCCCGCUGCCCAAGACCCUGGAGCAGCUCAUCCAGAAGGGCAUGGAGGUGCAGGACGGCCUGGAGCAGGCGGUCGAGCCCGCCAGCCCCCGCCUGCCCACCGAGGAGGAGAGCGAGGCCCUCACGCCAGCCCUCACCAGCGAGUCUGUAGCCAGUGACCGGACCCAGCCCGAAUAGAGGGCGCCGGCCCCCCGCCUGCCCGCCGUGGCCUUUGCCCACCGGGACUUCUGAGUGGGCUGAUCCCUGCAGGGGGAGCCCUUGUCCUCAUGCAGCUGGACACCCCACCUCAGCCUCCUAGCCUGACCCUAACAGACACGUGUGAUUCAGAUGUGGGCAGCGUCCCCCAAACAGCAGAGGGGCUUCCCUUCCCUGCGGGGCCCUGCCCCUCGCCCUCCCUUGGUCUGUCUUCCCCAGCAUGGGCCGGCCUGGGCCAGCGGCCCCACCCUCCAUACUCUCAGGCCAGGACAGCUUCCUCGUCCUGUUCAACGUCCCGGCCCUCUGGGCACUCAGAAACCCAGCAUCCAGAUGGCACGGGCCUGCAGGCACCAAGCUCAAGGGACACCCCGGGACAGAAGCUCUGGGCUUCUGGGAAGCCACCUCUCCUGGCAGUCGCCUCGUAGCCGACUGGCACCCCUGCCAUGGCCCAGGGCAGCUGGCCAGCCUCGGGCAGUGUGGCUCCCUCCCCCUGGAAGAAAGCCGAAGCCAAUAAAGGCAGCAGCAGCAGUGGCAGCAGCAGACCUGGCGUCCUGGUGCCUCCUGGCCCCUCAGCACCACUGAUUCAUGCCAGCCUGGGGAGGGACUGAGCCCCGCUCGAUGACUCACCCGUGGCAGGCGGAAGGUCCCACAGGGCCUGAGUCCUCAAACCCGGCUGAGGCAGCAGCCGGCCCUCGGAGCCAGGAGAGUGACAACAGGUAAUGCAGGAGACCCCGUCCCUCGGCUGUCCUCACACGGGGCCCUCAAGCUCCUCCCCAGCCCCCAGGUCCCAGGCCGCCCUCCCACCCUCGCAAUCCUCUGGGUGAGCUGAGAAGCAGCCCUGGGAGAGCAGCACUGUGACGUCUGCCGCAUGCCCCUCCUGUGCAGCCCCUCCCGGCCUUGGCCUGUUCCCGAGUCCCUGACCAUCCGUCUUCCUUCCUUUCAGGUCUCGAGGCUCCUGCGGAGCCUUUGCUGCUGUGCCUGGCAGUGCCUCCUCUCCUCUCCCCCUGCAAGCUGCCUGCACGAGAGGAGAAGUCUGAGGCCGGCGAGAGGCUGGUGGUGAAGACGCGCCAGCGUGAGGGCUGGGGCCUGCCGCUAUGCCCGCCCCGCUGGCCGCCCGCCCGCCCACCUGCCCCCAGGGCCGCCACCCCGGGUCCGGCCUCGCUCCAG